rnacentral:rRNA from 1 species
AUUCUGGUUGAUCCCGCCGGACCUGACUGCUAUCGGAUUGGUACUAAGCCAUGCGAGUCAUUGUAGCAAUACAAGGCGGACGGCUCAGUAACACGUAGUCAACCUAACUCGUGGACGUGGAUAACCUCGGGAAACUGAGAAUAAACCGCGAUAGAUCAUUAUGCCUGGAAUGGCUUAUGGUCCAAAUAGUUUACUGCCAUGGGAUGGGACUGCGGCCUAUCAGCUUGUUGGUGAGGUAAUGGCCCACCAAGGCUAUAACAGGUACGGGCUCUGAGAGGAGAAGCCCGGAGAUGGGUACUGAGACACGGACCCAGGCCCUAUGGGGCGCAGCAGGCGAGAAACCUUAGCAAUGUGCGAAAGCACGACUGGGUCAGUCCGAGUGAUUCCUGAUAAAGGAGUCUUUUGCUUGUCCUAAAAGCACAGGUGAAUAAGGGGUGGGCAAGUCUGGUGUCAGCCGCCGCGGUAAUACCAGCACCUCGAGUGGUCAGGACGUUUAUUGGGCCUAAAGCAUCCGUAGCCGGCUCUGGCA